GCUUGUCUCAAAGAUUAAGCCAUGCAAGUCUAUGUAUAAAUCUUUAUACGGUGAAACUGCGAAUGGCUCAUUAUAUCAGUUAUCGUUUAUUUGAUAAUCACUGCUACUUGGAUAACUGUAGUAAUUCUAGAGCUAAUACAUGCGUCAAUGCCCGACUUUGGAAGGGCUGUGUUUAUUAGAUCCAAAACCAAUGCGGGGCAACCCGGUUACUGGUGAUUCAUAAUAACUUUCGGAUCGAUCUUCGGAUCGAUGCAUCAUUCAAGUUUCUGCCCUAUCAGCUUUGGAUGGUAGGGUAUUGGCCUACCAUGGCUUUAACGGGUAACGGAGAAUUAGGGUUCGAUUCCGGAGAGGGAGCCUGAGAAACGGCUACCACAUCCAAGGAAGGCAGCAGG
rnacentral:rRNA from 1 species